rnacentral:sRNA from 1 species
UUUGGCGUUGACGUAGCGGCCUUCGGCGUCGCCGAACUCUGCGAGCACCCGGGCGCCGAGGACCAGUCCCAGCCCCGGCUGC